rnacentral:rRNA from 1 species
UACAGGUGCUGCAUGGCUGUCGUCAGCUCGUGUCGUGAGAUGUUGGGUUAAGUCCCGCAACGAGCGCAACCCUUGUCAUUAGUUGCCAUCAUUUGGUUGGGCACUCUAAUGAGACUGCCGGUGACAAACCGGAGGAAGGUGGGGAUGACGUCAAGUCCUCAUGGCCCUUAUAGGUGGGGCUACACACGUCAUACAAUGGCUGGUACAAAGGGUUGCCAACCCGCGAGGGGGAGCCAAUCCCAUAAAGCCAGUCGUAGUCCGGAUCGCAGUCUGCAACUCGACUGCGUGAAGUCGGAAUCGCUAGUAAUCGUGGAUCAGCAUGUCACGGUGAAUACGUUCCCGGGUCUU